AGCGAACGCUGGCGGCAUGCUUAACACAUACAAGUCGCGCGGGCGGUUUUCGGACCGUUAGCGGCGGACGGGUGAGUAUCGCGUAGGAACAUAUCCUGAGGGUGGGGGACAACCCUGGGAAACUGGGGCGUAAUACCGCACAUCUGCUGAGGCAGAAAGCCGCGAGGUGCCUUGGGAGUGGCCUGCGUCCGAUUAGGUAGUUGGUGGGGUAAAGGCCUACCAAGCCUGCGAUCGGUAGCUGGUCUGAGAGGACGAUCAGCCACACUGGGACUGAGACACGGCCCAGACUCCUACGGGAGGCAGCAGUGGGGAAUAUUGGACAAUGGGCGCAAGCCUGAUCCAGCAAUGCCGCGUGGGUGAAGAAGGUCUUCGGAUU
rnacentral:rRNA from 1 species